AGAUGGUGCUUUCUGCAAGGAAAGCUAAGAGGGAAGCCGAUGAGAAUUCGGCGCUGUACCCGCAACUGUGAACCGGGAGUUCAUGGCCACGAAAGCCACUGGAGCAACAGCUCUGGGAAGGCGGCCAGGAACGCAGAUCGGUGAGCCAGGAGACCUGCCAUCGCG
rnacentral:ncRNA from 1 species